AUCUGGGCGGCGGAAUUCAGGAUGGUUGGCGGGCCCUGCCGGGCGUGUCCGGCCGUCUGAUAUUUCCGUCGCCGUGUCGGACGUCGCGACCUGUUUGUCGGUCGGUCCCUGCUCGGAGGAAUCGCGAUCGAGUUCGUUGCGCGGUACCGUUUCGGCGGUUGCCGUGCGGCGAAGACGCGACUCUCUGGCCGACGGCGGACAGUAAGCAACGGUGUCCGGCGCCGUGUCUCGCGCUCGGCGUCGGUGCCGGUCUGCGACGAUUUCUUCGGGCCUCUUUCCGACCCGUCUUGAAACACGGACCAAGGAGUCUAACAUGCGCGCGAGUCGCGGGGUUUCGAGCGUGCCGUGCCGUGCCACACGGCGCCGGUGCGCUCGUCACUAACGAAACCCGUACGUUGGAGGCGUAAUGAAAGUGAAUGGGGAAGAUGGCGUUCCGAGUCCACGUACCGUGAUCGUGUGUCGCGGCCGGACGUCCGCACUCCCGGGGCGUCUCGAUGGCUCGGCGCGGACGCGGACGAUCGUCUCUCUCGGGGGGCGGUGGUCGGUCUGCGCCGGACCGA
rnacentral:rRNA from 1 species